UUUGUUAUCUCAUCCUACUUCCUUUGUGAGAUAAGAAUGUUACAAUUUUGUGCGAUAACUUUUAAUUCAUAUGGAUAAUUUCAGUUAUUAUCUAUAAACUAGAUGACUCUGAAGCUAUUUUAAGUUAUUCUAUCUUUGUCUUAUGAAGCUCGUAUAAAUUUUUAUGCAUGUUGUUGGUGCAAAUAAAAGGUGGAGUGGUGGAUGUGGAGGAAGGCAAUAUAAGUUUUGUUCCUUUCUCAAAAUCGAUCAUCUGUGUAAUAGGUAUACCCAAUGUACAAGGCCUUUAUUAAACCAGAUCUUCAAACUGCUUAUA